CCUGAAGGCCCACAGUCCUGCCCUUAACUAAGAUGGUGCCCCUCCGGCCUCAACAUCCCUCGCCUUUCUUAUCUGCCCUUCCAUGCCAAGGGGCAAAUCGGAAGGGAGGUUGGACUCCACGGCGUAACCGUAGAGAGAUAGCGUGCGUUGAUUGGACAGCGCCGGUCGCUAGGGGAAGAAGGAAGGCUCUGAUUGGUCUUUCCGGAGCGGUCUGUUUGAAAGGCCGAGAGUGAAGUAGCGGCAGAUCCGAAGGUGGCUGGCGGUGCAGGAUUUCUCUUGAUCUGGCUUUUCUGGGUCGGCAUCUAAGAGAGAGGUUCCAACGGAGUAAAGGUACUCAUUUCUGCUACUCUCAUGAGACCUCUUAUGGGCAGGUCCGGGGCUUGGAGGUGAGUAAAAGCCCAAGGGCAAGACUGAGGCGGGUUCUGGAGGUAAGGGAGUGAGCUCUGGUACUCGGGCAGGGCUAGCCCGUGGGCUGUGGAAAUGCGUUCCUACCCAGUAUUUGAUCUGGCCCGUGCUCCAAGGUCACAGAUGUCUCCCCUUUUACAGACAAUGAAACUGAGUGACGGGGCAGGUGACAGCUCACGGGGCAGCAGAGCCGGAUUCAGAGUCAUCUGGCUCCCGUUUCGGUUGAACUUAGGUUCAAUUAAGUGCUUAGGGUAGCGCCUUGCACAAAGUACUCAAUAAAUAGGAGCUUAUAGUUGUUACUGUAAUUAUAACACUAUCUAGACCCUGCCUCAAUCAGAAAACCUGUGUCAAAUUACAGCUCAUAAAUGAAUAGUAACACUGAGGAAUGAGUCAGAUCAUCUCUUAAGAUUUAUUUCAAUUCUGGAUCAAGGUGGUGGAGUGGGAAGGUCCUGAGCUCACCUCCUUCCAGGACACACCAAAACUACAACUACAUAUAGAACAACUAUCUCUGAGAACUGACCUGAAGACUAGCACAACAGAUUUUCUACAACUAAGGAUAUAAGGAAAAGGCCACAUCGAGAAAGCUGGCCUGGUGCUGGUGAGCACUAUUUCUAUCACUCUCCAUCAGCCUAGCUAACACCACGCGCCCUGCCCCUGCUUUCCCCUGAGGACCCAGGGGACCAACCUCACCCACCAGCACACCUGCAACAUUUGCUGCCCAACCGCAACAGGAGGGCACAUGCAGCCCACACAGGGGAUACCCCUGGAGCACCUGGCUCUGUUGAUCGGGGGAGAUUGCACCACUGAGCCCACAGGACACCUCCUAUGUAAGGCCACUCUUUCAAGACUGGGAGAUGAAGCUGAUUUACAUAGAAAUGAACACAGAGGGUUAGGCAAAAUGAAGAAACUACAGAAUAUCUUCAAAGGGAAGAACAAGACAAAACCUCAGAAAAAGAACUAAACAAAGUGGAGACAAGCAGUUUAUCAGAUAAAGAAUUCAAAGUAACUGUCAUAAAAAUGCGCAUCGAACUCAGGAGAAAAGUGGAUGAAUCCGGAGAGGUAAUCUGUGAGGAAAUCAUCAAAGGGCUAGAAGAUCUGAAAAACGAAGAUUUAAAACUUUUGAAUUUAUUAACUGAAAUGAAAAAUACACUCGUGGAAAGCAGCAGGAAAUCAGAGAAUGCAAAAAAACCAAAACAGACCAGUGAUCUGGAAGACAAAUGGAAGUUGCCCAAUCAGAACAGCAAAAAGGGGGACUUCGCUGGUUAAGACUCUGUGCUCCCAAUGUAGGGGGCCCAGGUUCAAUCCCUGGUCAGGGAGCUAGAUCCUGCAUGCUGCAACUAAGACCCGGAGCAGCCAAAUAAAUAAAUAAAUAUUAAAAAAAAAAAAAGGAAUCCCCAAAAAACAAGAAUAGGGUCCCCACCGCGGGUCCCAGCAGCUCCAGUGUGGGGGAGAGUGGCAGCAGCCAGACAGCCCAGCUUCGAGAAGGCUCUUGGCAGUCUGGCUGGCACACCAGGGAAGUCCCUAUUUACUCUCUUUUAGAUCCUUUUCCCAUAUAGGCCAUUACAGAGUAUUGAGUAGAGUUCCCUGUGCUAUACAGUAGGUCCUUAUUAGUUACCUAUUUUAUAUAUAAUAGUAUGUAUAUGUCCAUCCCAAUCUCCCAAUUUAUCCCUCCCCCCCAAUCCCCCUGGUAACCAUAAGUUUGUUUUCUACAUCUGUGACUCUAUUUCUGUUUUGUAAAUAAGUUCAUUUGUACCAUUUUUUUAGAUUCCAUAUAUAAGCGCUAUCAUAUGAUAUUUGUGUUUCUCUGUCUGAUUUACUUCACUCAGUAUGACAGUCUGUAGGUCCAUCCAUGUUGCUGCUGUAAAUGCUUUUUUUUAAGAGGUGAAGUCAUUUGCUGGUUGUUUAUUUUUUGGUACAAUCAGAAAGUAGUGGGAUAUUGAAUAUGGGAGGUUCUGAUUGUCUUGGGUGUCAGCUUAACAUUCCAUAGAUGGGGUAGCUUUUCUAUCCUAUAAUACAAAGCAUACUAAAUGGCAAUUGGAGUCAAUUGUACAUUUAAUGUCUUGAACACUUUUUAUAUAUUUAUUUUAUUUAUUUUCCUUUUUUUUUUUAUUGGCUGCGUUGGGUCUUAGUUGUGGCACACAGGAUCUUUGUUGAGGCAUGCAGGAUCUUUCUCAUUACAGCGUGCGGUCUACUUGGGCUUCUCUCUAGUUGUGGCAUGUGGGUUUUCUCUCUCUAGUUGUGGAGGAUGGGCUCCAGGGCACGUGGGCCCUGUAGUUUGCGGCACGCAAGCUCUCUAGUUGAGGCGCAAGAGCUCAGUAGUUGUGGCAUGCGGGCUUAUUUGCCCCAUGGCAUAUGGGAUCUUAGUUCCCCAACCAGGGAUCGAACCCGCAUCCCCUGCGUUAGAAGGCGGAUUAUUUACCACUGGACAACCAGAGAGGUCCCUUGAACACUUUAAAUUACUUCUCUUCCCUUGUUGUUUUUGGUAGAAUUGUUUCCUAAAGCAAACCACUCCUUGAUCUUGGCUCUCCUGGUCAGAAUUUUGUGCACUCUGUAACGUCGUUGGUCCCGGUAGUCCAGUUUUCCUAAUAACUUUGUUAAUGUGCUGUGAAUGAUUGAAAACUUGAGUAUGUAGUGUAUACGAUAUUAAAUUGUGAAUUUAGUGGGACUUAGGAUGUAACAGCAUAUCAACAUUUGAAGAUAUGGGUACUUGAUAUCCUGUUAAGGGAAUUUGCCUCCAAAUUUUAAGCUGGAAAGGCACUGGAAUAACUGUUCAGAAAAGAAUCAUGGGGGACUUCCCUGGUGGUCCAGUGGGUAAGACUGCGCUCCCAAUGCAGGGGGCCUGGGUUCGAUUCCUGGUGGGGGAACUAGAUCCUGCAUACAUGCUGCAACUAAGAAGUCCUCAUGCCACAACUAAGAGUCCACAUGCCUCAACUAAGCCCUGGCGCAGCCUAAGUAAAUUAAUUAAUAAAUUUAAAAAAAGAAAAGAA